GUCGACGGUGAUCCACCUUCGGGUGGUGAUCAGUGGCGAACGGGUGAGUAACACGUGAGCAACCUGCCCCUGGCUCUGGGACAACCACUGGAAACGGUGGCUAAUACCGGAUACGACCCGCCAUCGCAUGGUGUGUGGGUGGAAAGUUUUUCGGCUGGGGAUGGGCUCGCGGCCUAUCAGCUUGUUGGUGGGGUGAUGGCCUACCAAGGCGACGACGGGUAGCCGGCCUGAGAGGGCGACCGGCCACACUGGGACUGAGACACGGCCCAGACUCCUACGGGAGGCAGCAGUGGGGAAUAUUGCACAAUGGGCGAAAGCCUGAUGCAGCGACGCCGCGUGAGGGAUGACGGCCUUCGGGUUGUAAACCUCUUUCAGCUCCGAAGAAGCGAAAGUGACGGUAGGAGCAGAAGAAGCACCGGCUAACUACGUGCCAGCAGCCGCGGUAAUACGUAGGGUGCAAGCGUUGUCCGGAAUUAUUGGGCGUAAAGAGCUCGUAGGCGGUGUGUCGCGUCUGCUGUGAAAACUCAGGGCUCAACUCUGAGCUUGCAGUGGGUACGGGCACACUAGAGUGCUGUAGGGGAGACUGGAAUUCCUGGUGUAGCGGUGAAAUGCGCAGAUAUCAGGAGGAACACCGGUGGCGAAGGCGGGUCUCUGGGCAGUUACUGACGCUGAGGAGCGAAAGCAUGGGGAGCGAACAGGAUUAGAUACCCUGGUAGUCCAUGCCGUAAACGUUGGGCGCUAGGUGUGGGGUCCAUUCCACGGAUUCCGUGCCGCAGCUAACGCAUUAAGCGCCCCGCCUGG
rnacentral:rRNA from 1 species